GACGAACGCUGGCGGCGUGCUUAACACAUGCAAGUCGAACGGAAAGGCCCUGCUUUUGUGGGGUGCUCGAGUGGCGAACGGGUGAGUAACACGUGAGUAACCUGCCCUUGACUUUGGGAUAACUUCAGGAAACUGGGGCUAAUACCGGAUAGGAGCUCCUGCUGCAUGGUGGGGGUUGGAUAGUUUCGGCGGUUGGGGAUGGACUCGCGGCUUAUCAGCUUGUUGGUGGGGUAGUGGCUUACCAAGGCUUUGACGGGUAGCCGGCCUGAGAGGGUGACCGGCCACAUUGGGACUGAGAUACGGCCCAGACUCCUACGGGAGGCAGCAGUGGGGAAUAUUGCACAAUGGGCGGAAGCCUGAGGCAGCAACGCCGCGUGCGGGAUGACGGCCUUCGGGUUGUAAACCGCUUUCGCCUGUGACGAAGCGUGAGUGACGGUAAUGGGUAAAGAAGCACCGGCUAACUACGUG
rnacentral:rRNA from 1 species